rnacentral:snRNA from 1 species
GGAUGUGAGGGCGAUCUGGCUGUGAUAUCUGUCACUCCACUGAUUGCAAAGGUUGAUGAAGCUGAUCAAGCAGCUAGGCAGGGAUCCCCUUUCUCCCUCCCUGCUCCAUGUGCAUCCCUCCUGAAGCUGUGUGCUCAGUAGAUUCAAGAGGACAACCUUCCCAAAUAGAGGAAGACCAUUCUUUGGUCAAGGGUAUAUAAGUAGAGUACCUGCAUUCCCUUGCUAGAACCUCCAAACAAGCUCUCAGGUAGUCCCAAGCAAAGAAAGCCAUAGUAUGUACUCAGUGAUUAACUGAACCUCAGUUUCCACAAAUAU